rnacentral:lncRNA from 1 species
UUCCUUGAAGGAUUUCUGUAACUUGAAUAAGUUACAGUAAACCAAAUUCACCAAAAUGAAAGAUAAACUUGAAAAGCAUCCUCAGAUGAUUACAGUAAGAGAAAAGGUAUGGAUAAAAAAAAAAGACUGAUUAGAGGUUUAUCCUUUGAAUAAUAGGUAUCCCCAAUAAAGACAACUAAACAAACAAUAUUCAGUUAAGAACCCAUCCAAAGAACCUCUGCUACACAUUUUAAAUGCCAUUUGGAAUGGAACAGUGUCUACAAGAGUUUUUGUAGUUCAGCAUUUCUCUACUUAUCCAAACUGAAGGUAACAGAAUGGCAUCCUGCGAUAUACAGUGUACUACUUAUUUGUCCUUCCUGGAAAAAAAAAACUUACUUGAAUAUUAUCACCACACUACCAAAGUAAGUCCAAAUUAAGAAUAGAAGAAUUAAGAGGUAAAGACAAACUGGUGAGUAUUGAAACCAUGAAACUAUUAUUAUUUGUCUAUUCUAAAAUUUCUAAAAUGGGGUGUAGAGCCUCAGAAUAAAUUAAUGAAGGCUGAGAAGAAAUGUUAGUUUCUUUUGGGGUCAGGGGUUGAGUUAAGGGGUAAAAUACUUAUUUUCUAUAAAGAGAAAACGUUCUGGUUUUUAUUUUGAUAAUUUAAAUUUAAGAUUAAGAAUCCUUUGAAAUCUAAGGUGUUUAAUGAUAAAAUUAACAACAAUGUCUCCUUUUCAAAUCCUUCAAAAAUACAAAAAUAAUAUUGUAUACUUGACAAAAGUCAGAAGGGAAAAACAAAAUGCAACAUCAAAACUGUAAAUUGUUUAAAUACUAAAAACAAAAUGGAAUGAUUUGCUUCUUCCAAGAGCAUCUGUAAAUCAAGGUUUAUCAUACACGCCCAACAAAAAGUAUCUCUGAGUACAAUUUAAGGGAGAAAGAAGAGGAAUUAUAUUCACUGAUAGGAUUAUAAUCAGUAGUGAAGACAACAGACCCCUAACAUUUAUAUGCCGAAUAAUAUAGGAUUAAAACAGAAGUACAGAAGCCUUUAAAAUAGUUUAGGAAUUAUAAUGGAGGGCUUCGCAUGUUCUCUGAACUGUCAUUAACAGAAAUUAACUAGGAGAGAGAAAUUAACCUCAAAAAUGUAAAAAAAAAAUAUAGUGAUAAAAAAGCAAAAUUUUGACAUGUGUAGAAAAAGAAGAUAAAAACCUUUUCUCACAAAUUAAACAGGAAUGUUGAAUGAUAAUGGCAGCGGGGUAUUCAGAAAUAUGUCUUAGCUUCUGCAUGUCAGCUGAUUUAGAGUAUUUAUAGCAGGAUAAAAAACAAAAUGACAAAAACCCACCUUAAGUAUGUUUUUUCCAGCCUCUUUGUUAAGUACCCUGGUCUUUCAAGGAUAUCUCUUACCCUCUCCUCAGCCUAAGGCUUAUUAACCUUCUUGGAUUGCCUAGAGAAAUGAAAUGGGUCUAACAUUUGGUGCCCAGCUGCCAGACAUUAUUUCAGCCUCUGAACAGACUUUAAAGAGCUAAAAAAGCAAAGCUUGGAGCUUGAUAAUUGCCCUGUAUUGCCUUUUAAAGGACAGAAAUUGUACAAGACUUGCUCUUUGACUCCCAAGGUAAUAAAAUUCAAAAAACAAUCACAAUCACCAGGAAAACAAUUUUAAAACCCUCUUCUAAACAGCUUUUUGUUAAGGAAAAAAAUUUCAAUAAAAGUGUUAGAAUAAAGUAGCAAAAUAAUUUAAAAUGUCUGAAAGCCACAUUGGUAGCUUUAUUUGGAAGGAAAAAAUAAAUCAAUUAAAACAUACAAUACAAGAAACAAAAGUAACAUGACAAAAGUGAGACUAAUAAAUCAAUUUGAAAACAAUAAAUAGGCAUCUCUUGGCAACCAUAUUUUUUAAAAUCAGAAUUAAAUAUUAAAGGUAAUGAAAAAUAUAGAGAUUAUUAAAUAUAAAUGCUAUGUUCAAAUUUCUUGAAAAUUAGAAAAUCCAAACAGGUCAAUGAUCAAAGAAAAAACUCAGGUAGUAAUUGAUGAAUUGUGUUUCUUCAGAUGAAUCCAUAUUACUUCAUCCUUCUUUCAAAGUUUCAAGAUGCAUAUUAUUAUAUUAAUAUAAGAAUAUAACGGUAUGUUUUUCCAAUAUCAGAAAAGGUGAGUAUAUACAUUUUACUUUGUGUAAUUGUUACCCUGACACUAAAACUUUAAAAAGCAAUUAAAAUCAAAAAAUAUAGAUUCUUUUUUCACCUAUGAAUAUGGAUGCAAACAAAUGUAAACAAACUAUUGCAAAGUACAAAUAUGUUCAAAGAAUAAUUCACCAUUGGCAAGUAAUUUUUACCCUUUGAUGAAAAAGCAGUUCUCAUUAACGAAAAAAACAUUAAUAAAAUACAUAUGAUAAAACUUCAGUAAGUUCUAUUUGCCUAAAUUGAUCACUUGUUCAUUCUUGUGAUUGUCCAGGGAUUAUUUAGAUUAUGCAUAGUUUACUUGAAUGUCACUAGCUGGAAGAAUAGGGUUAACCUGGUUGUUGAAAUUAGUUAGUAUCCAACCUUCACCCCCAAUUACAUGGCUGCAAUAAAAUGGGAAGGGCCAGAAAGGGAUGUUGCUUCGUAGAUCGAUACAUGUCUUGAGCGCUUACUUUUUUUUUGUCAGGCAUUGAUCAUUGCUUUACAUACAUCUUAAAACCCUAUGAGGUAAGUAGCAUUUUAUUUAAUUUCACUUAUUUAUGUUUUUAGCUUUGUGGUGCUAGGGGUCAAACCCAGGGCCUUGAAUGUGUUAGGUAAGUGCUGUAAUACUAAAUAACAGGCCUAGUCUGUAAGUACUAUUUUUCAAGCAAGAAGCUGAGGUAGAGAUGAAGUAACUUUUUUUCCAAGGUCACACAGCUAGCAAAUGGUGAAGCUGGGCUUCAGAUACAGGUUAUCUUAAAGUUCAUACUCAGUCUCUACACUGAACAUCAAAGGGUGUAAUAAAGGUCACAUGCACACACACUGAAUAUUAUGUAAUAACAAAUCUUUCCAUAACUAUGGGAUAGCCUGGGAAGAAUGCUUAUUGUUAUUUAGUGAAAGAAAGCAGGGAAAAAACUUAUAAUAUUUUUAAGUAAUAAUGAAUUUGAAAGUAAGCCAUAUGGAUAUUUGUUUUUCACUAUUAUAUAUUUUCUCUUGGUAAACAUGUAUAGUUUUGUUUAAUCUUUUAAAAGUACACUAUUUUCCUACUAGAUUAUAAGAUUUUUGUCAGCAAAGACUGUGUUUUUAUUUCUAUAAGCUCAAACCCAGCUAUGCCCCUUACAUUAAAGUCACAAAAUGAAAAAUUAUCCAUUUGUACUAUAAAAUAAAAGAUUCCUAUGUUUCUUCUACUGUAGAGAUUCUGAAAAGAAGUCUAUAUUCUCUAUAGAUGUAUUAAUAUUUGUUUAGAUGCCAUCUUUUCAAACUGAGAUCUUAUAGUCUCAUUUUUAAAAAUUCAACUUUUAUUUCAAUUUUGUUUUUGUUGUUUUGUGCAAUUUUAUGAGUGCCAAAUUCACAGUCCACAUACAAAUCUUGAUUUUAAAUAACAUUUAUUAUUCUUACUUUAUUCUGAGAAUUGUAAAAUAUUUUACAUUUAAUCAUGUAAAUAAUUCUAUGAAAUUAUACCAUGAAGCACAGAGAAAUUACUUCACCAGGACACAAAGCAAGUAAGUAACAGACCUGGGAUUUGCACUCAGAGAAUAUGGCUGAUGGUCUCCAUUAAAUUUACACACUGUUUAAUUCAACCACUGUUCUCUUUUUGUUGUUAAGAAGAAAGUACUAUAAUCUGUAUCCUAAAAGGAGAGCAUGUAAUGAAAAAAAUCAUUCAUUUCACUGUAUGACCUCACGAGACAGUAAGAUGGAAGGAAAAGGUGAGCAAAGUAUAAUUGACAGGAGGAGAAAAGGAUUACAGGCUGCAAGGAGAUGACUCAGUGACUUUGAGUCAAAGUGUUGGUUCCUUUUUGGUGGUGAAGAUUUAUUCAACAUCAUAUAUUGAGCACCUCACUACAGGGUGUUGAGGACACAAUAGAGAAAAGAGGAAGAAGAAACGUUAGUGUCCUUAUUUUAUGUCGUUUAGUCUAAUUAUACCUAGAAGAAAUAAUGUGUGGUGGGGGAUCAGCCGCUACUUGGAAUAAGGCAAGCUGGCUUCUCCCAAACCUGUCAAUUUUAAAUGAUUCAUCAAAACAAAAUAAUUCUUCAACAAUCAACCCUAAUCUCAAAAAAAAUAAUUGCCAAGAGAUGCCUAGAAAUUGUGUACAAAGAAAUGUAGUAGACUAAACCAUACCACACUACCAUGGAACCCAGUAUUGCAUGGGUCAAAGGAUUUAUGCUUGCCUUCCAAACAAAGCCACCAACGCACCUUUCAAACAUGUUUAUGUUAUGAGCAGUCCUGAAAUGCAGGAGCAAAAGGCAGAUUUGUUUACUGUCCAGAAUUGUAAAAAUAAUUUGCCACUCCAGGACAAAACAUUAACAGAAAUACCGCCCCUUAAAAAUGAUUCAGGUUUCCCAAGUUUGGCAUUCUGCUAAGACACAAACUUGCUAUGUGCACAGCAUCCAUCUGAACUCCUCUUCACACCUGUAAAACUGAGGAACCUGUGCAAACAUAAAACUCAUACUUCUUACUGUAUUGUGAAUAAUAAAGUCCUUUAUCUUUGAUGCAAGAAUUCUGUGUGUUCUACCAACAUCCAUGAGGCAUUAGUAGACUAAUUUUGUUAUAAAAAGCUGUUUAGAAGAGGGUUUUA